rnacentral:rRNA from 2 species
CCUGGGGAGUACGGCCGCAAGGUUAAAACUCAAAUGAAUUGACGGGGGCCCGCACAAGCGGUGGAGCAUGUGGUUUAAUUCGAUGCAACGCGAAGAACCUUACCUACUCUUGACAUCCAGAGAACUUUCCAGAGAUGGAUUGGUGCCUUCGGGAACUCUGAGACAGGUGCUGCAUGGCUGUCGUCAGCUCGUGUUGUGAAAUGUUGGGUUAAGUCCCGCAACGAGCGCAACCCUUAUCCUUUGUUGCCAGCGGUUAGGCCGGGAACUCAAAGGAGACUGCCAGUGAUAAACUGGAGGAAGGUGGGGAUGACGUCAAGUCAUCAUGGCCCUUACGAGUAGGGCUACACACGUGCUACAAUGGCGCAUACAAAGAGAAGCGACCUCGCGAGAGCAAGCGGACCUCAUAAAGUGCGUCGUAGUCCGGAUUGGAGUCUGCAACUCGACUCCAUGAAGUCGGAAUCGCUAGUAAUCGUGGAUCAGAAUGCCACGGUGAAUACGUUCCCGGGCCUUGUACACACCGCCCGUCACACCAUGGGAGUGGGUUGCAAAAGAAGUAGGUAGCUUAACCUUCGGGAGGGCGCUUACCACUUUGUGAUUCAUGACUGGGGUGAAGUCGUAACAAGGUAACCGUAGGGGAACCUGCGGUUGGAUCACCUCCUUA